rnacentral:lncRNA from 1 species
UACAUUUAAGGAGGAGAGCCGCUACAAUGAUUAAAAGGAGGAGAGCCGCUACAGUGAUUAAAAGGAGGAGAGCAUAUACGUUGCUUCUUCUUCAGUCGUCUUCCUCAUGAAAAACCAAAAAAACUUAGCAACUUUCAUCUCCAUGGAAGCCGCAGAAGAUCAGUAGACGAACCCCCUGCCUAAACUUCAUCGUUCUCACCAUACCCCAAAUGACUGGAAUAAAAACCUUCAGCACACCCUAAGCAAUCAACAUCCAUCUCUCUUCAUCGUCCUCUCUGAACCGUACACACAGAAAAAUGUAAGUCAUCUUCUCCAUGACUUAGAACUGAAUACACACGCACAACCAGAUGAACAGAGAGCAUCAAUGAGAUGGUGAGGAAUUCUAUUCCAAAGCAUGGAUGUCGAUCGAGUUCGAGGGGUCGUUCACAGUGCGGGUCUGGUUCCCGCUCGAGUCUGAUUGUUGUCUCGAGUGUUGGUUGUAACACUUGCUCGAUUUCUGUCUCAUGUAUUACUGAAUAUUUCAUCAAUCGAAAGUUCAAUUUUCUAUUUCCCUAGUUGCUGAAGUUCUAUUAAUUGAAAAGCAAUUUCAGUGCUUAAAUUUCAUUUUGUUGCUGGGUUUGUUGAUUUGAGUCCAUUUAGGAUCUCGUUUGUGAGACAUGUUCGGAACUAGAUAUUGAAGUAUCGAGGUCGUCAAGUGAGCUCCGUUGAUGUAUCCUGGCUCAACUGUGUUUUCUCGACGACGAGGAGAUUCAAAGCAUUCCAAGCGUGUGAGUUUCGAAAUCCAUAUUAAGCUCGGUUUGAUCCUUAUUUGCUUUUGAGGUGCGUUUUCUUCCCAGAUCCGGUAUAAUCACUUCAGAAUUAUCUCUGUUUAUGCCUGCUUGUCUAUUUAAAUUUGUACCAUUAAUUAGUUAUUGGUUUUACAUAUGUGGUGGUUCUGAUGGAGAUAAAUCUCUUCAUAUAUUACUGGAUUGUGUAUGUACUUAAUUUUAUUCUUAAUGUUUCCAACCACUUUUAUUUCUAUACAAAAUCCAGUGGGUUCGUUAAGGUUCCUGGAGAUGACCCAAAGUUAAUAGCUUUUUCCUUUCAUGACAAGUUUAAGCAGGGACCGUUGCUUCCUGGUGUGGACUGAGCUCUUGUGAGCUCAUGAACUGUAAGGGCAGCUGGCCCAUUAUUGAUUAAUUAGUAGUUUGAGUUUUGAGUUAGGUAGCGGGUUCAAGCUAAAAGGUGUUUCUUUUUGUCUGGAUCGGGGCUUGAACUUGAAGCCCGAUUUUUAUAAUGUUAAUUAAUUAGGAUUUUUAUUUAGAGACAAAACAAAAAAAUAGAAAAUAUAGUCGCUAGAUUUAUCCUUUAAAAUAAAAAUGAGACGAGCCUCGCCCAAUAAAAUACAAAAUUGUGGGGCCAUCAGUAAAUGAUUAAAAAUAUAUAGAAAAUGGGGAAGGGUCGUUUAGCGAAUUUCACGGCCCUCCCAAAAGAUUACAACGUGUUAGACUCUAUUUGGCGCAACCUUAAUAAACUACAUUCGUAAAUACGGGUGGACAUUUUAUGCGGCCCAAAUCCAAAUCCUAAAACGUUGAAUAGAGUGUGAGUAGGAUUACGGGUUCAUUUGAUGAGGCGCAAUCCGAAACACACUUUAAACGAUGUUCACUUUCUCAAAUAAAUAAAUAAACAUAUAUAUAUAUAUAUAUAUAUAUAUAUAUAUAACCGGAAAAAUAAACAAGAGGGAAACAUGGUGCUGCGAAAGCUGACAGUCACCUCCUUAACUCAUAUAACUUUGCCUCUGAUCGGCCCAAAACCCGCUACCGAGUGAAUAGAUACCUGCAUCUGCACACAAUAUAUAGGGAGUAAAGUGAGUACUCCAACUCAGUGAGUAAUAAAGGUAUAUAACAAUUAAAUACAACAGUUUAGCGACCGUGCUAGAACCACGGAACCCGGGAAUGCCUAAAACCUUCUCCUGGGUUAAUAGAAUUCCUUGUCCGGAUUUCUGAUUCGCAGACUGUGAAUUGAGUCAUCUUUUUCCUCGGUUCGAGAUUCAACUGGUGACUUGGGACACCAUUAUUCUCCUUAGUGGUGACUCUGAAUAAAUAAUAAUAUAAUUCCAUUCCGAUUGUCCUUUAUUUGGAAAAACUCCUUUAUGCCCUUUUGUGGGGUGUAUAACAAAAGGAGGUGUGACAUUCGGUAUUCUGUUAUUAAUUUCGUAGAGAUUGUAGAUUUCGCAAUGUGUUAGACUUACCUAGUCGUGAUGACUGGAUGCCGUCAUGACAUGUUCACAAUUGGUGAACUAGGGUCGUGAUACGUUGCCAUACGAGGUACUAGAAGUGUGGAUGUUACCUUAUAGGCAACAUUUUUGAAGCGUGGCUUCUAAAGCAAUAUUUGAAAAGUGUGGCCUUAAAGAAAAGGUUACGCUACUUUUAGGCCAUCCCCUUAAAAGCGUUGACUAAAGUCGUAAAGUGUAGCCUUUGAUCAAAUGCCACACUUUAUGAUAAUUUAGGCCAUACCUUCAGGGGUGGCUAAAGACUGAAAAUGUUGUAGUGGUAUUAUCUCACGCCGUGGAGUCUGGAGAGGGUAGUGUAUACAUAGUCCUUACCCCUACUUUGUGAAGAUAGAGAGGUUGUUUCCGAUAGACCCUUGGCUCAAAAUAGUAUAAGUACCACAUUAAUAAAAAUAUAGGCAAGAAGAGACAGUAUAAAAAAGCCAUAUAAAAGCAGAAUAACACAACAAGAUAGUAAAGUGAUUAGCAAUGAAAGAAAAUAAUGGUUAGUCAUAAAACCUACUACCAAUAGAAAACGAGACUACAUGCCAAUACUAAAGUUAUGAACACUCUACACUACCUACUCUAUUAUUCUAAUUCUCGGCCUCCAUACCUUCCUAUCAAGAGUCAUGUCUUCGGUCUGUUGAAGUUGCACCAUGUCUUGCCUAAUCACUUCUCCCACCUCUUCUUUGUCCUACCUCUACUUCUCCGUAGGCCCUCUAAUGUCAACCUUUAACACCUCCUCAAUGGGGUGUUUGUGCUUCGCCUCCUUAUAUGACCAAACCACCUAAGUUGCGCUUCCCGCAUCUUGUCCUCAAUAGAGGCGGCCCACACCUUAUCGCGAAUAACCUCAUUUAUGAUCUUAUCUAAUCUGGUGUGCUUGCAUAUCCAUCUCAGAAUCCUCAUCUUUGCUACCUUCAUCUUUUGGACAUGAGCAAUCUUGAGGGGUCAACACUCAGCCUCAUACAACAUCGUUGGUCUGACUACCACUUUGCAGAACUUACCCUUAACUUCCAGUGACACCUUCUUGUCACACAAAACACCAGAAGCGAGUCUCCAUUUCAUCCAUCCCGUCCGAAUACGAAUGCGACAUCUUCAUCAAUCUCCCCAUCCCCCAUGAAUAAUAGACCCAAGGUACUUAAAACUCCCUUUCCUAGGGAUGACCUGCGAGUCCAAUCUCACCUCCCCCUCCUUUCCUAAAGUCUCGUUGCAGAACUCACACUCCAAGUAUUCUGUCUUGGUCCUACUCAACUUGAAACCCUUAAAUUCCAAGGUCUGCCUUCAUGCCUCUAAUUGCGUAUUCAUACUGUCUCACAUCUCAUCAAUCAAUACAAUAUCAUAUGCAAAUAUCAUGCACCACGGCACCUCCCCUUGAAUGUAGCGCAUCAAUACGUCCAUCACCAGGGCAAAAAAAAAAUGGGCUUAGUACUGACCCCUAUACGAACCCAUCAUAAUAAAAAAUGNNNNNNNNNNNNNNNNNNNNNNNNNNNNNNNNNNNNNNNNNNNNNNNNNNNNNNNNNNNNNNNNNNNNNNNNNNNNNNNNNNNNNNNNNNNNNNNNNNNNNNNNNNNNNNNNNNNNNNNNNNNNNNNNNNNNNNNNNNNNNNNNNNNNNNNNNNNNNNNNNNNNNNNNNNNNNNNNNNNNNNNNNNNNNNNNNNNNNNNNNNNNNNNNNNNNNNNNNNNNNNNNNNNNNNNNNNNNNNNNNNNNNNNNNNNNNNNNNNNNNNNNNNNNNNNNNNNNNCCCCCCCAACGUCCUCACUUGAGUGUUUACUCCAUCAUACAUGUCCUUAAUCAAGCUAAUAUAGGCAACAUGAACACAUCAAGCCUCCAAACAUCUCCACAAAACCUCCCUCGAAACUUUAUCGUACGCCUUUUCUAAGUCAAUAAACACCAUAUGCAACUCAUUCUUUCUCUCCUUAUACUGCUCCAUCGAUCUCCUAACAAGGUAUAUGGCUUCUGUAGUGAACGCCCAGACAUAAACCUAAAUUGGUUCUCGAAAAUAAUCAUACUCAUUCUCAUCCUUAGCUCUAUCACUCUCUCCCAGACAUUCAUAGUAUGGCUAAACAUCUUGAUACCCCGAUAAAUAUUACAAUUAUGGAUAUCACCCUUAUUCUUGUAUACAAAAAAUAUCGUGCUCCACCUCCACUCUUCGUGCUUCUUCUUUCUACAAAAAAUGACAUUAAAUAACAUAGUGAGACACUCCAAGGCCGCUUUGCCGACAUUCUUCAAAAAUUCCACCGGGAUUUCAUCUGGUCCUUUCGUUUUUCCCCUACUCAUCUUACCUAUAGCACCCACAACUUCAUCAACUCUAACUUUCCUACAAUAUCCAAAGUCAUAAUGACUCCCGGAGAAUUUUAAAUCACCUAGUAUAAUGUGCAUGUCCCCCUUCUUGUUCAAAAGACUAUAAAAGUAGGUCCUCCAUCUCCGACGGAUAAACCCCUCAUCCAACCUCUUAAGAAAGAUGUGCCCCAACAUAUAAUAUAACAGUGGUCUAUUUGUUCUGUUCUGUAAGAGUUUAAGUUCUCUGUUAUUGAUCUACUUUUUAUAUAGCUUGGAUGUCAUACCUUCCACAUCUUAAUGUAUCAAUCCCAAAAAAUGCACACCAAUUGUAAAAAGGUUGUAAAUAUGUUUUUAAAUUUUGCAAUGUCUAGUUGAUGAAUAAAAUAUAUUUUGUUUAUCCGUAUUAGAGACAAGUGAAUUGAUUUGACUCAAAAACAAUUGAAAAUAAGAGCAUAAAUGAGAUUAUGAAAUAAAAUUGAAAGAAAUACAAGCCUUACUAUGUGUUUAGUCUUCCUGAUAACAAAAGUAUGAAUAAUAUUAAGAGUAGACCAAAAUAAAUAACUUUAUAAUUUAGAGAGAAAAAUGUAGCGUUUUUGUGUACAUAGUAUUUCGUGUGUGCAAUAGAUGUUAGUCCUCCUAUUUUUAGCCAUGUUCGGGGAGAUAUGAUCCCUAAAUCAAACUUCUCUUGAAUAAAAAUAAAGCCAACAUUGAUGGAUUAAUAAUGAUUGGCCAUAAAUAUCUAUAUUCCUCGUAACGGCUGCCCAUUGAAUGCUAGCCGAUGGCAAAGCUCUGAGUCUUUGUUGUUGGCUAUUUUUCCUUCGGGAUUUGUCCGGCACCGACUGCAUUACAUCCGAUGUCAGUUUUUCAUUGAAUCACGUCCUAUCUGUCUUUUGUUCCACGUGCCAUUUUGUCAUUCACCUAGCUAUCACUACUGCUUUUCACCAUACAUAUUUUCGACUCUUUCAUAAUAAGGAGAAAAAUAGUUUCCUAAUUAUAUUACAAUAAAUUUGUUUCUGAAGAGUAAGGAAGACGGAGUUCGUCAGUAAGAAAAGAUAAUAUGUUGGAAAUAUUUUAAGGACUGUAUUUUAUUCUUAUACUCAUCUAUCAGUACUUGGUCCAAGUGAAUUUUUUUUUGAAGAUUGGCAAAGGAACUCAAGUAUGAAUCAAGUCCAUCCAGAGUGUGCAAAGACACGAGCAGAUUCAAUCACAAGGGAUGCACGUGAGGGAGAUAAGCAUAAGUGGUUAUAUCUGAGAUCUCUUGAUAGAAAAGGUUUCAUAAUUGACAAUGAGAAGAGCUCCUUAGUUGAAGGAAAAACUAUCCAAGAUAAGGGAGAAGUUAGAAGUUGAGGAUAACUAGACUCUUCCACUAAGGAAGAGUAGCCAUAGAACUUAGUUAUUUUUUAUUCUACUAUUGCAAGAUGUUCUCAGUAUACAGGUACGCACAAAAGAAAAAUUUAAAGGUGAGUUAAGAGGAAAAUGGCAAGGCAUUUUGCAAGCAAUUCUUGUGUGAUUCAACCGUGCGAACCUGAAGCUACAUGAACUAGAUAGAAGAACUAAUUCCAAUUGUUUUUCUUUUAUUCUAGUUAAAUUGUAAUAGAUGUUUUCAUAUUAUACCUUUCAGUUUUAUCUAAAAGCAAUUGUAAUAGGUGCUUUGAGCAUCCAAGUUAGAGUUAAUUUGAAGUUGUCGCAAUAGUUAGAGGUUGGUUGCUACGAUGGGAGAAGGUUCCCGGUAACACUGAACCUCCAAGACGACUCAAAAAUAAAAAUAAUAUAAAAGCAGGGUUGUUCAAACUUACACAACCUAAGUUAUUUUAUGCUAAGGCAUUCCGACAUUUGUGAAUACAAGUAGUAAAGCAAAGGAAAAAAUUUGAAAACCAAAACGGAAAAGAAAGCCUUGAAUAUAUUUACUCAAUAGUCUUUUAGAAAGGCCAAAAUGGCUUAAUUCAAAGAUUUACAAUGGUCAAAACGACCACAAAAAGAUGCUGAAGAAAGCAAAAAAUAUAAAGGCCUAAGUAUCGUGGUCUUCAUCGUAGGCAUCAUCUUUGUCCUCUGGAUCUUCCCCAUCUUUGGACUCAUUUAAGCUUUCAGAAUCUUCCUGGGGAAAGGCUAGCUUUCAGGCCCUGGCUUUUUCCGAUUUGGCAUUUUCGAUUUCGGUCAAUAUGUCGAAGUCCUGAGCACGAGCUUUCUUAAUGGCUUCCCUUCGAGCUUGCCACUUUGCAUGAUCCACCAUGCUCUUGGAAUGCGCCUAGAUGGCCUCGGCAUUGACCUUGAAUUGGGACACUUUAGCAUCGGCUUAGGUAUUGGCCACGGCCACCUCAGAUUUAGCCACCUCAAGAUCGCUAACCAAGUUUGCCUUAUCAGAGAUAGCCAAGUCCAAUUGGGCUUGAAGCUUCUUGAUUUUCUUGACAUGCACAGAGGAUUUUUCUCUUGCAGCUAGAAGUUGGGACUCGACCUACUUUAGCUCUGCUUGAAUGGCUUCCUUUUUCGAGGCCAAGAUGUCCAUAUUUUUCUUAAACUCCUCAUCCUCGGCCUGUAUCGUAUCUACUUAUGCCUAAAACUGCUCGACCUAUUCAAGCCUCUGACAGAUUUACAGGAUCGAUUCAUUAGUAGUGAUCUCUAUUUCGUCUUCACUAUCAUGAAGCACUUGAAAUACCUGCUCUUCCAUCUUGGUAUGCUUCCUAUGAGCCGCUUCCAACUCGACAUGAAGCUUCUCGCUUACAAGCUUGUAAACAUCCAUUUUCUCGGUGAGCUCCCGAGCCUCAGCUUCGUGUUUUUCCUAAAUUCAAAGGAAAGCCUCAUAAUGCAACAGUGAAGCCUACAAGCACGAAGAAAGAUGUUAGAAUUAUUUACAACUUUAUGGUUAAAAAUAAUAAUAAAAGGACCCUCAAAAUUACCCGAUUCAAAGCAUGUUGGGCCUCAAUAAAGAGGCAAGGUGCUUCCACAGCAUUCAUCACGGCCUGGUCUUCCUUGGUCACCAAGCAUCUAAGGUUGAUGGAAAUCCCCAGAGGGGCGGAGAAAAUUCGGGCAUCUUUCGGGACAAAAAAAGUUAUCUACCACCUGCAGUCGGAGUUAACGCUUGGGGCCAGGAAUUGGUCUACCAGUUUUGGCCUCGACGAAGACAGAGAAGGACCCGCUGGCCGUACCUUCUUUGGCACCGGCAAGCCACCAAGCCCGGUGACAUCUUACGAAGCAGUGGAUUCGAAUCCGUCCAAGAAGCCGAAGAUAUCAGCCACCCCCUGAGGCCCCUCAGAAGAACGACUUUCUAAAUACCGGCCUCGCGAAUCAUGACAUCUGAUAUAUGAGGUGAUUCAAAAUGUCAAUCAUCCCGAGCUCGUCCCUCAGGAAAUCUUCUGCUAUUCGAGAAGCGUCGCCCCGGUCUCUCUCUAGAUCUUUUUUGCUUAGGGAAGAGAGGCCACAACCCCUUCUUGUUCGGAAACUUCAACCACAAAUUCCUCAUCGACCACCUCCGGUUUGGAGGACUUUUGCAUCGAAACACCAUCCCCCACACGAGCUAUCGGUUUGGGCAUAUCUUCCUCUUCUUUUUCUUCUUCGGACUAAUCCCUUAGUCGAUGGACUAAGUUCGAAUGUAGGGAAUCGGAGCUCCCCUGGGCUUGCGAGACCACCUCACCGGUUUUUCUUGAGUUCGAGUGAUCGAUACCCUUUUUCUUUUCUUUUCGUUGGCCUGCUUCAGAGUAGGGGCUCAGGAAUCACAUCCUCAUCACGGGAUGGAGGCCUCAUAGCUACAUCUUUGGCAGGGAUCAGGUCUGAAGUCCUUAUUCGAACAAACCAGCCCAUCCAACCUCGGUCCCGAGACUCGUCUAUACACAAGAAUGGGGCCUUACUGGCCCAGCGAGAAAUCUUGAUUAUGUAACACCCCAGACUUUAGAUAGAGUCCUAUAUCGGUAAAAUACAAGAGAGAUGCUGGGUAUAUAAGUUAGCAAGCCUUAGACCCUAGUAACACGUUUUAAACCUGUGAGGGCCUAGGCCCAGAGCAAACAAUAUCAAUAGAGGGCUGGGCUAUUUCAGAUUUCCCUAUUAUAGACUCAGCAUCCUCGCUGAGGUUUGCCCCACCUCAUGGGAUUCGCCUAGACUCAGAACUGAGGUUUUCCCCGCCUAAUUGGGAUUUUGUCUAAACUCAGUUAAACUCCGACCCACUAUCGACAUGACUAACACAAGAGUUCCUCUGAUACCAUAUGUAACAGCCCAACCCACUGAUACUCUCAGCUCUGGCCUAGGCCCUCACGGGUUUAAAACAUAUCACUAAGGUCUAAGGCUUAUUAACUUAUAUACCCAGCAUCUCUCUUAUGUUUGCCAAUGUGGGACUGUGUCUAAAAACUAGGGUGUGACAAAUCAGCCCCUCUCGAUAUAGUUGAGAACUAUAGAGGUACAUAAGGUGAUCGAGGUAAAAGGACAUCCCUCGAUUUUUCCCAAGAAGAAUACAGAGAAGGAUCACUAUUCUCCAGAAGGAAGGGUGGAUUUGGCUAAGAGUCACAUCGUAUCUCGUGUAGAAGGCGAUGAUGAUAGAUCUUAAGGGACCCAACAUGAAGGGGUAAGUGUAAACACUUACAAAACCAUCCGCGUAGGUAGUGAUCGAUUCAUCAGGCGAAGGAACCACCACAUGACUGUUGACCUAGUUGCAAUCUUUUUUUAAUAUUAUUGAGAAGAUCAUUGGUAAUCAUGCAUAUGUAGCUUGAGAUAGGCUCACAUCGGUCGGGUACCGAGGAGGUCUUUUCAGCCUUAAAAUCGGCACCGGUAGGACACCCUGCCGGAACGAACUCCUCAGGAAGAGGCUCCACCACAGCCCCGCCGCUAGCCGAUCAUGAUGAAGAGGCGACCUCCUUUUACUAUACAAUCUUGAAAGUUUUUCGCCAUUGAAAAUUUUGAAAAAAAAAUUGGAGUGAUGUGUGGUUUGCUAAAAGCUCAAGAAAUUUGAGUGCAAGAGUUUGUAAGACAAAGGGUUUUUGAAGAAAAAACUAGAGUAUGAGGAGCUUUGAACGUAAAGUUUGAAUGAAGGAAAACUAGGGUGCUUAUAGCUUGUUGGUGACGAUUUAGAAGCGGUAGUGGCCGACCAAAACUGGCAGAAAUUAAAUGCCACGGUAACUGAACCGAUGGGACAUUUUGGUAUCCAUUUAUCCUUUAUGUCAUGGCCUUUCGAAAUGGGAUUGGGAGGUUCAUAUCGUUUCUCGUUAUCUUCUCUCUGAGCAACAAGGGACUAUCUGAAUACAGUCAAAAUGCGGCUUCCCCUUUUGUGUGUGACCAAUUGAGACUAGAACAUGAUAGGUCAAGGUUCUACUUCAUGUUGUAUUGAACCAUAGUGCAAAGUUAGAUCGCCAAGCUCGUGACCUAGAGAUCGAUUGAGUUCAAGAGCGGCCAAGAUCGAGACCGAGAAAAAUCAAGGGAAGCUUACCGAACAAAGUAACGGAAAGCCGAAAUAUCUGCAAUCGGGCGAGGAUCACGGCGAAAAUCCUAGCAUGUAUCAAGAAAUGACCAAUUAAAUAGCUAAUCGUGAGAUUUCUUAUUUUAUCUGGAAUUGUAUCAAGAGUAGGACUCCACUACUAUACAAAAGGGAUCUGAUCAUUUGUAAAAGGCAUCAUCUUUACGCAACAUAAAGCAAUAUACUGUCAUUUUCUAGCUUUCAUUAUCUUGUUACUCUAUUACUUUGUUCAUACUUCAGUUCGAACACCUUCGGUUCGAGGGUGGUCGAACUCGAGGGCCGAAGCAAUUCGACUCGUGUGGUUUGCAUUUCCUCUCUAUCGUCAAUUUAAAUAUUAAUUUAUUUUUUGUAAUUUGUACCAAGUUAUAUUACAUAGCCUUAAAAUCACAUAUAAAUUUAAUUGUUAUCCAAUUUUAGGGUAAACAAAAUGUGUAGAGGGAGAAGUACUUCAUGAUUUGGUCCAUUUGCGAGGUGAGGCAUUCAAAAGGAAACGAGUCUCUCCAAAUUGGCUUGGAACAGAACAUCUAAAAGAGGACAUGGAAGUGUAAUGCUAGUGUUUUGGACUCUAGAAAAUGAUUCAAUACUUAGGAAGUCGUUUAAUUAGGGAAAAAUUUAAAAAUAUUUAGAUUUAUAAGUGAUUAUUUAAAAAUAGUCACACUUUCAAAAGUAAUUCAAAUUUAGUCACUUUUUAUAUAAAGAUAAAUUUGAGCAAAAAUAUUAUUCAAAAAUCGAAAAAUACGCAAGUAUAUUAUGUUAAAGUUUAAGCAUAAAUAUACUUGAACUCCAGCAUAUUAUGCUGAUGAUGGUGGUCCAGCAUAAGUACAGUAGAACUCCAGCAUAAUAUAUUGAAAUUCCAGCAAAGUAUAUCGGUCCAGUAUAAUAUGUUGGAAGUUCAUACGCAAGUGCUCGAAUCUCCAGUAUAUUAUGCUGGACCGGUUUCUAUUGCAACAAAAUAAUGAUUAUUUUUUAAUGAUUUGACAAACGCUAAUUAUUUUUAAAUAAUCGGUCAGAAAACGGGUCAGCCUGCUAUUUUAGGUUUAAUUACUAGCAAACAGUCAUUUAGUCUUGGAUCCAAAUGCCCACUUUACCUACAACAGACGUGCCAUAGAGUGUUUUUAACUUUUAACAAAAAAAAAAAAAAAAACAGAAGUUAUAUGGAGUGAAGAGAGAGAGCACUACUAAAAGUCAAACUUAUUUCAAGUCCAACUAAUAUAACGACAACUUAAUACUUUGAUUAAGUUUAAGACGAGUAGGGAGUUCCAUGACACAGACCUAGUAGCCCAAGCCCCCAAAAACAAGAUUAAGAGGACGAAUAGAGAUCCACAUAAAAGACAAUUAUAUUCAAGUGGACCACUGAAACUGUUCUAAAUUUUUUAUUAUAUUUAACCCAUUUGGUAGUCUCAAUCAAGAUAACGAAAUCCGGCUCAAAUCACGUUAAAUGUAACUAUGCUGACCCCUCAUAAUUUCUUGUUUCAACCUUCAACUAAUGAUACCUAACCAUAAUUGUGUGAACUCCUUUUUCUUUUUCCUUUUUUUUGGGGGUGGGUGUUUUUUUAUAAAUAUUAGUACUCCUUAAUAUUUAUUGGAAGAAGAACUAUAUUUAUAUUCUCAAAGUCACAUUCAUUGGUAGAAUCCUAUGGAAUGAGGAUUUAGUGGACGAAUUCAAAGGCAUCAUCAUCAUCUGAAUUUAUGUGUCGCUUGUUUUUUUUAUUUAUAAUUUUGUUGUUUGGGGGGAUAGGAUACCGCAAAAGGUUAAUUUCUUUCUUCGAAUCAAAUCUGCUUCAGACCCUACAUUUAACCGUAUGGUAAUUAAAACAAAAUUUCCAACAAUGAUAGUACAAGGUUGCUUUUAUUGUUUGGCCUUCUGGUCCAAUCUAAAUAAGUCAAUAUAAAUUCUUACUAUUCAGUGAACAAUCCAAGAUUGAUACGGGAACAUCUUUUUUUAGGUUAGAGAUGUGUCAUGUGAGAUCCCAUUACGCAGAAAAGGAAAACUCCAAGCCAUAUUUAAAUGAUUACCGCAAUUAAUUACCAAUAUUUUUGUGAGUUGUGAUGAUGACUAUAUUAAAUUAGAGUUUAAUUGUACAUGUUUCCAUAGGAUUAGAGUUAAAACUGUGUUCAUGUGCACAUUAAUUUGAAAUGAGGCAAAAACAAGUUUUAAAUCACGUAUUUUCAAAUUUCAAUGAGUAUAACAUUUCAAUUGUGUUUUUUAAUAUAGAAAAACACGCUGUUUCUCUCUUAUUGAAUUCAGUAUUUGCAAAUACUGUAAUUGUACUUUGCGUUUAAAUCAAUCCUCAUUCUAGCAGCUAGUGGAAGUCUUUUAUUAAUUUUCACAUUGUAUUCAAUACACGUAUUAGGCUCCAACUAAUUCAAAUUUGCAUCGCAUUAGGCUCAUUAAAUGAGAAAGCGUCCCCUAUUAAAAAAUUUCUCGUAUUCUAAUUCAAACCGGAGAAAUCAGGUUAAAGAUGGAGGGAACUUAUUCUGUCAAACCAGUAAAAACAAGAUAAGAAACUGAAGUUCAUAUAGAGGUUGAAGUUUUUGGAAGGUUCUUCAUCGCAGAAACAUAAGAGAGAGAUCAUGAGAAAUAAUUGGCCAACCUUUAACAGUUGUGGCUUGCUUGUAUUUAUAGUAUGUCCAUACGAUGUAAAAAAUGGCUAACUACUAAAAUAACCAAUAUGCUAUGUUUACAAAGAAUGAAGGCUAACUAGUACAAAAGACUAUACAAGGCUAAGUAUAAAAUAAAUAUCUGGGCCAAACUUAAGUAUGUUGCUUUGGGCCUGAAAUGAUACAUGCUGGAGGCCCAACACCCCCCCUCCCCUUCAAGUUGGAGGGGGAAACAACCUUCAACUUGCCAAGAAAGGAGUGAUGGAGGACACCAGUUAAAUGCUUGGUGAAGAUAUUUGCCUGCUGUUUAGAGGUAGGAACAUGGGAUAGAUGGAUGAACCCUUUAGUCAACUUACUCUUGAUGAAGUGACACCACUUCAAUAUGUUUAGUGCGCUCGUAGAAGAUAGGAUUUUUGGCAAUGUGAAUGACUGCCAUAUUGUCACAAAAACAUAAAUAGGGAAGGAAACAUCAAAAGUAAGAUCAUGCAACAACCUGGACAUCCAAACCAAUUCAACAACAGUCUUAUUAACAUACUUAUACUCAGCUUCAACAGAAGAAAGAGAAAUCACAGGUUGUUUCUUCGAUUUCCAGUCAACAAGGCUAUGACCCAAGAAAACACAAAAACCAGAAACAGAUUUGCGUGUGUCAGGGCAAGCAACCCAAUCACAGUCAUAAUAAGCCUUGAUAGAGAAAUUAGUAGAGUUAGAGUAAAAAAGACCAAGGUGAGGAGUACCCUUGAGGUACCUUAGCAAAGGAAGAGCAGCAAUCUUGUAAGGAACACUGGGAGUCUGCAUAAAUUGGCUCAGAUAUUGAACACUAAAGCAAAUAUCAGGCCGGGUGUGAGUCAAGAACAAUAGCUUCCCUACAAGACUUUUGUACUUCUAUGGACUAGGAAGAAGAUCCCCAACAUCAGUCUUAAGCUUCUGAUUCAAAUCCAAUAGGCUAACAACAGAAUGAAUAUGCAUGCAAUCAUACUCUUUGAGUAGACCAAAAGUGAACUUCCUCUGAUUCAAUACAACACCAUCAGGUAAGGUAGUGACUUCAAUACCCAAAAAGUAAUGGAGAGAGCCCAAGUCUUUUAUCUUAAACUCAGAAUCUAGAAAGUGUUUCAAAGCUGAAAUCUAAUGCAGGUCAUCACCAGUAAGGAUAAUAUCAUCAACAUAAACAUCUAGGAUGACAAGAUAACCUGGGGACCCUUUGAUAAAAAAAGAGUAAUCAUUGAGUGAAUGAUGAAAACUUUUAGAAUAUAAAGCUUGAGACAAUUUGGCAUAACAUUGCCUCGAAACUUGUCUAAGACCAUAAAGGGACUUUUUCAACUUGCAAGCCAAAUGAGUAGAAGAAGAAGAUGAUGAAACAGAAAGGCCAGGAGGUAAUUUCAAAUAGACCUCCUCAUCCAACUCACCAUGAAGAAAUGCAUUAUUAACAUCAAGCUGAAACAAAGACCAAUUCUUCUUAAUAGCAACAACAAUCAAACACUUGACAGUAUAUAUCUUCAUUGUAGGAGAGAUUGUCUCAUUAAAUAUACCCCCUCAACCUGAAUGUCCCCUCUAAUAAUAAGUCUAGCCUUAUACCUUUCUACUUCACCAUUAGCUUUGUAUUUGAUUUUAUAGACCCACUUGCAGCCAAUAGGCUUCUUACCUAGAGGUAACUCAAAUAUAUCCCAAGUGUUAUUAACUUCUAGGGCUUCAAAUUCUUUUCUCAUAGCAUCCUGCCAAGCUGGGAUAGGUUCUGCCUGAGAAUAAGUAUAUGGUUCAAAUUCUACAGGUUGGACAGUAGAACAGGAAAUGAAAUUAGGUAGUUUGUAAAGAUAGUCCUUUAGAUAAGAGGGAUGAGUAUAUGUUCUAGUAGAUUUUCUUAAUGGUGAAACAGAUGCAGAAGGAGAAGAAGUAGAUGGAAUAGAGUCAGAUAAAGCAUCAGUAAUGUGAGGAGAGGUUGAGAGAUCACAAGGUGAAGGUGAAGGUGAAAUAUCAGAAUGUGAAUAGUGGUUGUCAGAAACAAUAGGAAAUGAUAGAUCAUCAGAAAGAGAAGGAACAGAAAGAGGAUUAAAAGAAGUAGUAGCAUCAGGAGGCAAGGGAACUGAGGAUGAGGUGGUUGUCAAUGGGACUUUGACACAACUGGAAAGGAAAUAUCUGAGGAGAAAGGGAAGAGUUGUUCAUAAAAGAUGACAUCUCUAGAGACAAAGGACUAUUUUAACAGAAGGUUAUACAACUUAUAACCUUUCUUUGGAAAAGGAUAGCCAAGUAAGACACAUGGAAUUGCUCUAGGUUUCAGUUUGUCUCUCUAAGGAAUGGGAACAGUAGCAAAACAGAGGCAGCCAAAAGUUCUUAGGUGUGAAUAACUAGGUGUCUUCUCUUGCCAAACAACAAUUCAUAAGGUGAUUUAUUUUGUAGUACUCUGUUAAUAAUAUAUGUGGAUGUAAGAAGGCAAUCUCCCCAAAACUUGAUUGGUACUUUGGAUUGGAAUAGUAAAGCCUUGGAAGCUUCUAGGAGGGUUCUAUGUUUCCUCUCCACCAUAUUAUUUUGUUGUUGUAUGUGUGGACAACUAGUUUGAUGAAUGAUUCCAUUUUCAGAAAAGAAGGAAGCUGCAUCAUUACUAUUCCCUAAUUCUAGAGCAUUGUCAUAUCUAAUGCUUUGGAUGGUGACAUGAAAUUGAGUUUAGACCAUCAAUACAAAAGCCUUCAGGAGGGGGAAGGCAUUACUUUUGGACCCCAUUAAAUGAGUCCAAGUGCUUCUACAGAAAUCAUCAACAAUGGUAAGGAAAUAUUUGGAGCCUGAAUAUGUAGGAGUGUGAUAUGGUCCCCAAGUGUCAACAUGAACAAGUUGAAAAGGCUCAAAACUAUGAAUAAAACUAUCAGGAAAUUACAACCUAGUUUGUCUAGCCAUAGGACAAAUAGAACAUCGAAAAGACUGUGUAGAAGAAAUAUUAGAGGAAAUUUCAGAAAUACUUUUCAUCUUAAUAAAAGGAACAUGUGCAAGUCUACUAUGACAAACAAUGUCCAUCUUAUUUAUAGCAGCUUUAUUACAAGAGGGAGAAAUAGUAUUUACAAUACAAGAAGGAUGGUCAAAAACAGAGGAAGAUGACAAGCUGUUGCAGGCAUUUGACACAGUAACUUGAGGUUAAGAAGGCUUUUCCUAUACAAAUUUGUACAACCCACUGUCCAGUUUACCAAGAUCCAGAGGCUUCUUCAUAGAAGGGCCCUGUAUGGGACAUGACAGCCUAGUAAACUGAACCAUACAAUCAAAUUGAUCUGUGGGUUUGUGUACAAAAAUGAGAUUGUGCUUAAAAGAAGGUAGAUAAAGGACAUUGGAAGAAUUAUAGACUCAGUCAAAACGAAGGGACCUGUGCAAUUAACUUUUACUUUAUAGAAAUUGUGAGCACGUGAUUUUUUCCCUAUAUAUGAAUUACUUUCAGAAAAUUCAAAAUAAAAUAAUUUUUAGUUUGUUGGCAAUUUUUGUGAAUUUUCUGUUAUUUUUCUUGUAUUAUUUGCAUUUUUUGUAUGACAUAUUUAUUUGUUAAAUUAAUUAAAAAUACAAAAAAAAUGUCGCAUUUUCAUUUAAGAUUUAAUCAUACAAUUAGGAGUAAUUAAGUUUGUUUUACAAAAUGAAUAUCACAAAAAUAAGCAUGUUUUGCAUUUUAGCCUUUAAUGUACAAAUUGCGUGAUUGUGCUUUAAUUGUUAUUUAAUUUUAGGUGAUAAUUGUUAUUAGGAGUUAAUUAGUAUUUUAAGAUAAUUUUGGUUUUCAUAAUUUAACCUUAGCAUGUUAGUUUUAUUAAUUAGGAAGUUGAAUAAAUAGAAAAGAACAAAAAUGGUAAGAAAAUUGGAUUGGGCCUCUUAUCCUAACUUGAAUUCACAUGGCCCAAAACACCUCUACCCAACCCAAAACCCAUUUUAUAAUUUAAUCUUAGCAUUAUAGCUUUAGUAAUUAGGAAGUUGAAUAAAUAAAAAAGAACAAAAUGGUAAGAAAAUAGGAUUGGGCCUCUUAUUAUAAUUUGAAUUAACUAGGCCCAAAACACCUCUACAAAACCCAAAACUCUUUGACCCGGCCAAUUUUCACCCCAUCCCUCUUGAUUUUUCAGAUUUCUCACUUCAUUCUUUUCACUCAACCAAACAACCCAUACCCUAAAACACAGCCUAAACUCCCUAGCCGUCGCACCCUACACCUCACACCCCUCUUCUUCAUCUUCUCCAAACACACCCCCUCAAACCCUAAACCACCACCCUUCCACCUCCAACCAUGGCUGCCCCCAGCCCGUCAUCGUUCCCCCCUCAACCAAAUAAAACACACUCUAAACUCCCUAGUCGUCACACCCUACACCCCACCCCCUCCUCUUCAUCUUCUCCAAACACACACCCCCAACCCUAAACCACCACCCUUCCACCUCCAACUAUGGCUGCCCCCAUCCAGCCCGUCAUCGUUCCCCCCUAAACCAAACCAACAACCAGUGACGACCCUCCAGCCAUAGCCCACGACCCCGCUGCCAAAUGCCCAGUCCACGUCUAAACCACCACCAUCGACCCCACCAACCCUCACGUAACCCCAUCCAACCCGUUGUCCAUGACAACGACGACCAAAUGACCCUACUGUCGUCAACCUCACCAAAUGACCCCCACUGCCCUGCUGCCUCAUAUCCAACUAACAAAAACAACUCGCUUCUGCCUCAUCUUCUUCACGUGAGCAACCAAUCAUCCAAACGACACCUUUUCUUCCAUUCCAGUUCGUGGUCGCCCCGUCUAUCGUCGUCCAGUUUGUGGACUAGUUCAUCGAGGUCAUUCUUCGUCAACUCAAGGUUUGUUCGUUGAUUAUUAAUUCCGUUCGAGUUCAAAGAAUAAGCGGUUCGAGGUCAUUGUUGAGAUAUUGGGCAUAUUUGAGUUAUUUUGGAUUUCAAAAUUUCCGGGCAGAUUUGUUUCUGCUCGAGUUCGUUGUUGUUUUGAUCCGGUUAGUUGGUUUAAGUUUCAUUUCUGUUCGUAUUUUGUUUGAUAUUUUCAGAUCGAAAAUCAGUAUAUGUUUUUUUUGUUCAUUGUUUAUCACUUCUUGAUUAUUUCUUCACUUUGUUUGAUUCAUUUACUCUUGUUUAGUUUAUUAUAAAAAUAUUUCAGUUUAAUCACUUGAAUUUAUUAUCUUGAUUGUAAUGUUGUUAGAUUUAAUUUGAAGUUCAGUUGAUGGUUAAGUUUAGUGGGUUGAAUUUGUUUUAUUGUUCCGUUAAGUUUAAUUUGAAUCCGAGAUUAGUGAUUUCAAUUUAGUCGUUUGUUAUUAUUGUUGAAUAUGAAAGUAUGUUUGUUGUUAAAAAUGUUGUUCAGUCAAAAUAAUUUUUAGUUGGUUCUUUUUUGUUCAUCGUAUAAUUUGAAUUUGUUGAUUGAAUUUGAUUAAGAAUUGGUUAUAGCUGCUAUAUUUUGAUUAAUUGAUUUAGGUGAAUUGGUUAUAGCUGAUAGGUGUAGAAUAAUAAUUUUUGGUAAUUUCGAGGGUAUUUUUAAAAUUUAAAAUUUGGACAAUUAUUUAAUUUAAGUGAUUUGUCCACUAGAUUAAAGUAUUAUUAAAAUAAUAUAGUGGGGGACAAGACAUAAUUAUGUAANNNNNNNNNNNNNNNNNNNNNNNNNNNNNNNNNNNNNNNNNNNNNNNNNNNNNNNNNNNNNNNNNNNNNNNNNNNNNNNNNNNNNNNNNNNNNNNNNNNNNNNNNNNNNNNNNNNNNNNNNNNNNNNNNNNNNNNNNNNNNNNNNNNNNNNNNNNNNNNNNNNNNNNNNNNNNNNNNNNNNNNNNNNNNNNNNNNNNNNNNNNNNNNNNNNNNNNNNNNNNNNNNNNNNNNNNNNNNNNNNNNNNNNNNNGGGGACUGUGGGAUCCGUGUUGACUACUUCUUACUUAAUUAAAAUCACAAAUAGUAUAGGUAAUAAUAAAAGGUUAAUAACCCACAUAGUAGAGGAAUAUAGGGCGGGAAAGUAAGAAAGAAGUAUAGGGUAAUUAGAAAAGGGUAAUAAUAAAAGGGUAAUGGUAAAAAGUAAAAGAAAAAGGGGGCUGAUAAGUAGUCUUGCUUUGGGUAUAAAAGAGGACUCAUUUGACACUUAAAAGGGGACGGAACUUGGGAAUAGAAAUUUCAGAACUUGAGAUGAGAUAAAAAGAUUUUGAAUCUUAAGAAUUAGAGAGAGUUCGAAAGUUAGAAACUGAAAAAAAUUGUUUCUUUUCUUCACCGUUAAAAAUCAGCAUCAAUUGCUAUUGUUCAUUGAAGCUUCAAGCUUCUUUUAUUGAGUGUUAAAAAUCAGAAGUGAUUAUUUUUGGCAACUGAUUAUUUUCUGUUGGUCUGUACUUGUUUUCUAAUACUACUGGCAUUCAAGUAGUGUUCCUUGGGUUUACUGUUGGUUUUUGGUUGGUUUGGAAAUUCCUGAUUUUUCUGCUUGGUUGUAAUCUGCUGGGUUUUUGCUGCUAUUCACGAAGUUACUGGGCUACUCCAGUGUUGUUGAACUGAUGUCGAUGUGUGUGUCCUGCCAUUGCUUUCUACUAAUCUUCCUUUUCUUUGUAUUCCAAUACGAGGUACACCACUUUGAAUCAUUUUGAUGUACGCCUUGAACAUGAAAUAAAAUGACAGAAAUUUAUGUAUUUAGUUAUAGUAUACUUGUAUUUUAGCUAAACAUUAGUUAUAUAUAUUUUCAUGCUAUAUAUUAGUUGAUCUUUGAAUCUUGUUGGUAAUGAAGAUCCGCAAAUGUUUGGCAAAUAUAAUAGGACAGUAAUUUUGUAGAAUCAGCAGACUCGACGCUUUUAAUGUGUGAUUCAAUGUAGCAAGGCUAAAAAUAUUAAUCCAUAGGCGUGAAUCUAGCAAGAUGGUUUAAAUUUUAAAUUUAAUAAACUUUCGAAUAAGCAUUAAUAAUUAAGUUUAAUGUUAGUUUUUUUAAAUAGUUGUAAAUAAUUAUUGGUUUAUUCAUAUAACUAUGUGGAUUUAAUCUUGUUGUAGGAUAAUUAAUCUCUUUUGAAUAGAUUGUUUGUCGAUCCCGAUUUUGUCUAAAAUUUCAAUUUUGUAAUAUUCCCUUCCGUUAAUAUUUUUAUUAACCCAGCUAUUAAUAUGUUACAUUUUUAGCAUGUAAUUUACUAGGAUUUUUCUCUUUAAAUUAGAGACAAAUUUAAUAGAAAUGUAGUCACUUUAGGAUAUCCUUAAAAUAAAUAAGGUGUUCCUCGCCAAAAUAAAUCGCAAUUUGCGAGGCCCUCAAUACUCGAGCUUGCAUGUUGACCGGCUUCUGAAUCUCGGGAAUUUUAGAAAAUUAAACCAAAAAAAAAGAGAGAAAAAAAAAGAGAAGAAUAGCAAAUGGAGAGUUAAUUGAGUGUUUUGGAAAAACCAAUGGCCAAGUAUUAUCGAAACUCUGCCAAAAUUUUAAGAAAAUAUAAGAAAAAAUAUUUUGUUUUAAAUGGUUGUUUAUUCAAAAGAGUCUACCAUUUUUAGUUUUCUUGUUUGCAAAAAUGAAAAAUGAAAAAUAGUUUGUUUUGUCUUGGAAAAAAAAGUCUUGAUUUUUGUUUUUCAUGCUUCAAAAUAGUUUAUUUGCCAAGGGAAGUGAAAAUAGGUUGUUUUAUUGUUUAUUGAAAAUAAAAAAGUCUUGUUUUUAAAAGUAAUUUUUUUUAUUUAUUUAUUUUGCUUGAAAUGCUAAAUCAGGUAAAUUCCAGUGGUCAGAUGCUUGUGACAAAAGUUUCCACAAAUUGAAAAUAAGGUUGACUUCGGCACCAGUAUUGGCCUUGCCAGAAGGCACAGAGGGGUUUGUAGUUUAUUAUGAUGCCUCCAAGGUUAGUUUAGGGUGUCUUCUGAUGCAGCACGGGAAGGUUAUAGCAUAUGCUUCCAGGCAACUCAAGAAUCACGAGAAAAAUUUUCCGACGCAUGAUUUAGAGCUUGCAGCAGUUGUGUUCGCCUUGAAAAUAUGGCGACAUUAUCUUUAUGGGGUUCAUGUAGAUGUGUUUUCAGAUCACAAGAGUCUUCAAUAUCUAUUCAAGCAGAAGGAGCUAAAUUUGAGGCAGAGGCGGUGGUUAGAAUUGCUUAAGGAUUAUGAUACAGACAUCUUGUACCACCUAGGGAAGGCGAACGUGGUGGCCGACGCCCUUAAUCCAAAAUCCAUGGGUAGUUUGGCUCACUUGAGAGCGGGUCAGAGGUUCCUAGCUCGGGAGGUACAUAAGUUCGCCAACCUUGGGGUUUGUAUCUCGGCCCCGAAUGAGGAGGAACUUAUGGUGUAUAAUACAGCAGAAUCGUCGCUCGUGGCAGAGGUUAAAGAAAAGCAGUUUGUUGAUCCAUCCUUAGCAAAAUUGAAGGAGGCAUCUCUAAGUAAAUAAAUUUCAGCAUUUUCUCUCGGCAGCAAUGAUGGUGUGCUACGGUGCCACGACAUGUUAUGUGUCCCAGAUGUGGAUAAUCUUCGGGAGAGGGUAAUGGAGGAGGCUCAUCAUUCCAGNNNNNNNNNNNNNNNNNNNNNNNNNNNNNNNNNNNNNNNNNNNNNNNNNNNNNNNNNNNNNNNNNNNAGAUGUGGAUAAUCUUUGGGAGAGGGGAAUGGUGGAGGCUCAUCAUUCUAGGUAUUCACGGCACUCCGGCUCUACAAAGAUGUAUCACGAUCUCAAGGAUAUCUAUUGGUGGAGUGGUAUGAAUAAGAGUGUAGCGGACUUCGUCUCUAAGUGCCCGAAUUGCCAGCAAGUUAACGCCGAGCAUCAACAGCCAGGAGGGUUGACUCAGCUUAUAGAAAUAUCGAUGUAGAAAUGGGAAAUGAUCAAUAUGGACUUCGUGACAGGACUACCUCGUACUCAGCAUAAUUUCGACUCGAUUUGGGUAAUUGUGGAUCGACUCACCAAAUCAGCUCACUUUUUAUCGGUCAAGUCCACCGAUGCUGCGGAACAAUAUGCUCGGUUGUAUAUCAAGGAGAUAGUGAGGCUUCAUAAUACGCCACUUUCAAUCAUUCCGGAUCAAGGAGCUCAGUUUACAACUAACUUCUAGAGGAAAUUUCAGCAAGGUUUGGGUACUCAAGUGAAUCUUAGCACAACUUUUCAUCUGCAGACCGAUGGCCAAGCAGAGCGGUGCAAGGUUUGGGUACUCAAGUGAAUCUCAGCAUAACUUUUCAUCCACAGACCGAUGGCCAAGCAGAACAAACUAUUCAGAUGCUCGAGGAUAUGUUACGGGCAUGUGUCUUAGAUUUCAAAGGUAAUUGGGAUGAUCACCUGCCCCUUAUAGAGUUUUCUUAUAACAAUAGCUUCCAUGCUAGCAUCCAGAUGGCCCCAUUUGAAGCAUUGUACUGAAGAAGGUGUAGGUCCCCGAUCGGGUGGUUCGAGGUUGGUGAAGAGGAAUUAAUAGGGCCAGAUCUCAUGCACCAGGCCAUGGAGAAGGUAAGAGUCAUUCAGGAGAGAAUGAAGGCUGCUCACAGUCGCCAGAAAUCCUAUGCGGACGUGCCUCAAAGAGAAUUGAAGUUUCAAGAAGGAGAUUGGGUAUUCUUGAGGGUGUUUCCUAUGAAGGGAGUCAUGCGCUUUGGGAAGAAGGGAAAACUAAGUCCUAGGUACGUCGGGCCUUUCAUGAAGGAGAUUGGUAUUCUUGAGGGUGUCCCCUAUGAAGGGAGUCUUGCGCUUUGGGAAGAAGGGAAAACUAAGUCCUAGAUACGUCGGGCCUAAUAAAGUCAUUCAAAGGAUCGGUCAAGUUGCGUAUAGGUUGGAAUUGCCCCCUGAAAUGUCCCUAGUGCACCAGGUGUUUCACGUAUCCAUGUUGAGGAAAGUUGUGGGUGAUACGUCUAAGAUUGUGCCAGUUGUAGACAUCAAGUUUACGGAAGAGUUAUCAUAUGAGCAGAUUCCAGUUGCUAUUCUGGAUAGGCAAGUCCGAAAGUUGCGAAACAAGGAGAUUGCUUCAGNNNNNNNNNNNNNNNNNNNNNNNNNNNNNNNNNNNNNNNNNNNNNNNNNNNNNNNNNNNNNNNNNNNNNNNNNNNNNNNNUUGUGGCGAAAUCAACAAGUCGAGGAAGCCACGUGGGAAGCAGAAGAUGAGAUGAAGAUAAAAUACCCACAUCUAUUUGAAUAAGUUAGAAAUGAUCGUACGAAUCAUGCCCCUAGGAGAGCUAAUGUUCUGUUCCGUUAGGUGAAAGGCUCAUCCCUUCUCUUUCCAAGUGCCUUAUUGUUGUAGUUUCUUCAAGUUGUGCAAACCAAGUUUAUGUGUUGUGGUUAUUUGAAUAAUGUGCAGCCUUUUUUUGGUAAUGGAAGUUUUGUGCUCUCAUGGUAAGGUGAUGUUUGGAAGUAAUAAUUAAUUUUGCAUGGAGACUGUGUAUCAAAGUGUUCUAAUUGUGUAAUGAUUAGUUUUGCAUGGAGGAAUUUUAUUGAAAUGAAUAACUGUGUAGUACCCUUGUGAUAGGUAAAUGGCUUUAAUAGUACAGACGAUUAAUGCUUAAUUUGAUUAGAUGUAGUGUGCUAAAAUGGUUGAAAAGUGUAUCAAGAGGUUGAAUAUGUGCAAGUGUGAGGAUUAUGCAUUUUACAAUUGUUGUAAGAGUAGAAAAUUUGUGUAAUAGUGCUUAGAAAUAUGUUUUGGGGGCUCUUUGACAGGUGGUUAUGUCCAUAUUACAAAGGACAUCCUGGCAAAAUUUUUCUAAAACAAACUUGAAAGUUAAUACGUGCAAGUGUGAGGAUUAUGCAUUUUACAACUAUUGUAAAGGUAGCGGGUUUGCGUAGUAAUGCUUGGGAAUAUGUUUUGGAGUUCUUUGACAGGUGGUUAUGUCCAUAUUACAAAGGGAACUCUGGCAAAAUUUUUCUAAAACAAACUUGAAAGUUAAUAAAAGUGUAGAAACUUGCAUAUNNNNNNNNNNNNNNNNNNNNNNNNNNNNNNNNNNNNNNNNNNNNNNNNNNNNNNNNNNNNNNNNNNNNNNNNNNNNNNNNNNNNNNNNNNNNNNNNNNNNNNNNNNNNNNNNNNNNNNNNNNACUCAUUUGGUUCCCAAGUCCUCAUUCGAGGACGAAUGAUCUUAAGCGGGGGAGGAUGUAAGGCCCCGUGAAAAUGAGUGCUCAGGUGUUAGCAACUCAUAGAGUUGAGACUACCUUCAUGGAUAAAAUCCUUUUUAGUGUUUUGAGUUUAAAAAUGUGAAAUCAAAAUUUUUCCAGAAAAUGGUCAAAAUGCGGUCCAGAAUGCGGUCGCAGAUCAGCUAUGUGGACCGCAUUCCUACCGUAGAGUGAAUCAGAGAGCAACCAAAUUUUGAUGUUGAAAAUGCGGUCAAAUCUGCGCUUGCAUAAUCAAUAUGCGGACCGCGGAGUGAUCGCAUAUUGUCCCUGAGGAAAUUCGAAGGUCAGUUCUGUGGUGCAUUCUGCGAUUGCAGAACUCAAAUGCGGACCGCAUAUUCACCACAUUCCCAACCGAGAGGUCUGAAGUUUGAGCCCUUUCUGCGGUCCAUUCUGCAGACCGCAUGUCUGUUCCGCGAUCGCAGAGUUGCCUCGCAGAUUGAGCUCGCCCAGUUAUUUUUCUACAAAUCUAAGCCCGAACCUUCUUUGAUAAAAACACCCCAUUCCUCAUUUUAACCCAAUUUCUGAACAAAAUAAGAGAGAGGAAGAGAGGGUCCUAGAGAGAGAAAGCAAAUUCUUCAUUAAUAGAUCUUUCAAAACCAUUAGAGCUUGGAAAAUUCUUGGUGCAUUGUCUUCUCUAUUGAUUUCUCAGGUAAAAUCCCAAACCCAUUUCCCCCAUAUUUCAAAAUUAAGCUUGGGAAGGGAACCUAUACAUUUGCUUUGAAUUUUCUUCAUAAAAUCUUUAUGCAUGGCUUCAAAACUCAAAAAUCUUGUAAAAAGGGAAUUGGGUAGUAACUAUGAGUUUAAAAAUAUUCUUCAUAAAAUCUUCAUGCAUGGCUUCAAAACUCAAAAAUCUUGUGUAAAGGUAAUUGGGUAGUAACUAUGAGUUUAAAUUUCUAAAACCUAAGUGUUGUUCAUGAACUAUAUUGACUUCUUGAUUGCUUGGCAAAUCGGACUAGAGGUUUAAAAGGGAAAACUCAACUCCAGGUAUGUAUGGCUAACUGCGAUCCUUGUGAAAUUACCCCACGCUAGUUGUGAAAUUGUUGAUAGUUGAUAAUCAUGUGAGAAAUCAUUGUGAAUCUUUUGUGUUGUGUAAUUGUGUGGUAAUACUUUGUGGUGAAUGUUGUGGAACAAUAGAAAUGAAGUUAUGUGGAACAAUAGAAAUGGAACAAUGUGGAAUAAUGGAAAUGAGAAUAAUGUGGAAUAAUGAAAAUAGAAAUAUUGUGGAACAACGUGUGUGAUUAGUUGUGAAUAACUUUUGUGAUGAUCUAAGUUGUGUACCAAUUUGAUGAACAUGAGGAAAUUUUUGUUGCUAGUUGUGGGAUUGCAUUACCCUUGUUGUGGAUCUAUGUUAACAAUGUGCCAUAGUUGUUCUUGUAUUUGUUGAUGUGCUGUUUGUUGAUGUGAAUUGAAACUUGUCAGGUGAGAUCGGGUUGCGCGACGCAACACAGCGAAAUAAGGUGUGGGUUGGGGUGAUAAGGGUGGCCGAGGUAAUAAGGGUGGAUGAGGCAAUAANNNNNNNNNNNNNNNNNNNNNNNNNNNNNNNNNNNNNNNNNNNNNNNNNNNNNNNNNNNNNNNNNNNNNNNNNNNNNNNNNNNNNNNNNNNNNNNNNNNNNNNNNNNNNNNNNNNNNNNNNNNNNNNNNNNNNNNNNNNNNNNNNNNNNNNNNNNNNNNNNNNNNNNNNNNNNNNNNNNNNNNNNNNNNNNNNNNNNNNNNNNNNNNNNNNNNNNNNNNNNNNNNNNNNNNNNNNNNNNNNNNNNNNNNNNNNNNNNNNNNNUUAACUACAUUUAAUGUUUGAUUUUAUACUUGUAUAUGAAAUUUGGCUUGAGUUUUCUUGGGACAGAGUUUGUUCAUACAUGCCAGUUCAAUUCAAAUGUACUGACGUCCCUUUUAUCCGGGGCGCUACAUUCAUGUUAUGAUUGUAGGUGGAUCCGUGGAAGGCACUCCAGUCCACUGUUUGUAGCUCAUCGUCCUCUCUAUCGGCG